rnacentral:rRNA from 1 species
CAGCCGCCGCGGGAAUACGUAGGUGGCGAGCGUUGUCCGGAAUCAUUGGGCGUAAAGGGAGCGCAGGCGGGCAUGUAAGUCUUUCUUAAAAGUUCGGGGCUCAACCCCGUGAUGGGAAAGAAACUACAUGUCUUGAGUACAGGAGAGGAAAGCGGAAUUCCCAGUGUAGCGGUGAAAUGCGUAGAUAUUGGGAGGAACACCAGUGGCGAAGGCGGCUUUCUGGACUGCAACUGACGCUGAGGCUCGAAAGCCAGGGGAGCGAACGGGAUUAGAUACCCCAGUAGUCCCUGUCUCUUAUACA